rnacentral:lncRNA from 1 species
UUUUUUUUUUGAGAAGGAGUCUCACUCUGUCGCCCAGACUGUCUCAAAAAAAACCAAAAGAACGACCAAGUGUCAGGUACUACAUGGGAGCUACAGGGUUGUGUGCAGGGACCCCCAGCACCUGGAAGGAUGGGUCAGGGCUGCCCAAAAGGGAGCCUGGGGAAGUCACAGGUGCUCAAGCCCCACCUCUGGACGUUAAUUCGACACUUCUGCAGGAGUGGCAGGUAGAAA